GUCUUUUUGAAAAUAAUAUAAAGUCUCGCCUGCCCACUGAAAUAUUAAAUGGCCGCGGUAUUUUGACCGUGCAAAGGUAGCAUAAUCAUUAGUUUUUUAAUUGAAAGCUGGUAUGAAUGGUUGGAUAAGAAAAAUUCUGUCUCAAAUUAAUUUUUUUAGAACUUUAUUUUUAAGUUAAAAAGCUUAAAUAUUUUUAAAAGACGAGAAGACCCUAUAGAGUUUAAUAAAUUAAAAAAUUAUUUUAUUAAGGAUAAAUUAAUUUAAUUUUGACUUUUUAUUUGAUUGGGGUGAUUAAAAAAUUUAAGAAACUUUUUUUAUAUUAAAACAUUAAUUAAUGAAUUUAUGAUCCAUUAUUUUGAUUAAAAGAAUAAAUUACCUUAGGGAUAACAGCGUAAUUUUUUCUUAGAGUUCUAAUCGAAGAAAAAGAUUGCGACCUCGAUGUUGGAUUAAAGUUAAUUUUUGGUGUAGAAGCUAAAUUAUUAGGUCUGUUCGACCUUUAAAACUUUACA
rnacentral:rRNA from 1 species